rnacentral:misc_RNA from 1 species
AGAGGUGUAUAAGAGACAGGUGAAUCAUCGAAUCUUUGAACGCACAUUGCGCUCGCCAGUAUUCUGGCGAGCAUGCCUGUUCGAGCGUCAUUUCAACCAUCAAGCUCUGCUUGCGUUGGGGAUCCGCGUCUGACGCGGUCCCUCAAAAACAGUGGCGGGCUCGCUAGUCACACCGAGCGUAGUAACUCUACAUCGCUAUGGUCGUGCGGCGGGUUCUUGCCGUAAAACCCCCAAUUUCUAAGGUUGACCUCGGAUCAGGUAGGAAUACCCGCUGAACUUAAGCAUAUCAAUAAGCGGAGG